rnacentral:rRNA from 1 species
UACGUAGGGUGCAAGCGUUGUCCGGAUUUAUUGGGCGUAAAGAGCUCGUAGGCGGUUUUGAAAGUCGGGUGUGAAACCUCCAGGCUCAACCUGGAGACGCCACUCGAUACUUCAAUGACUUGAGUUCGGUAGGGGUAAGCGGAAUUCCUGGUGUAGCGGUGAAAUGCGCAGAUAUCAGGAGGAACACCGACGGCGAAGGCAGCUUACUGGGCCGAUACUGACGCUGAGGAGCGAAAGCCAGGGGAGCGAACGGG